AAUGAACGCUAGCGGGUGGGCCUAAGGCAUGCAAGUCGUACGAGAAAGCUCUCUUCGGAGGGUGAGUAGAGUGGCGCACGGGUGAGUAAGACUUAGGUAACGUACCUUUUGCUGGGGAUAACAGGUGGAAACGCCUGCUAAUACCGAAUAUUCCUAUUUUUCUGCGGAAGAAAUAGGGAAAGCCGUAAGGCGCGAAGAGAGCGGCCUGAGUCCCAUUAGCUCGUUGGUGAGGUAAAAGCUCACCAAGGCGACGAUGGGUAGCUGGUCUGAGAGGAUAACCAGCCACACUGGAACUGGAACACGGUCCAG
rnacentral:rRNA from 1 species